rnacentral:tRNA from 1 species
GCGCCCGUAGAUCAAUUGGAUAGAUCGUUUGGCUACGGACCAGAAGGUUGCAGGUUCGACUCCUGCCGGGCGCACCA